rnacentral:rRNA from 1 species
GACGGCUCAGUAACACGUAGCUAACCUACCCUCGGGUGGGGGAUAACCUCGGGAAACUGAGGAUAAUACCCCAUAGGAGAAGAGGUCUGGAAUGAUCCUUCUCUGAAAACAUAUGUGCCCGAGGAUGGGGCUGCGUCUGAUUAGGUAGUAGGUGGGGUAACGGCCCACCAAGCCUACGAUCAGUACGGGCCUUGAGAGAGGCAGCCCGGAGAUGGGGACUGAGACACGGCCCCAGGCCCUACGGGGCGCAGCAGGCACGAAACCUCCGCAAUGCACGAAAGUGCGACGGGGGGACCCCAAGUGCUUACGCACUGCGUAGGCUUUUCUAAAGUGUAAAAAGCUUUAGGAAUAAGGGCUGGGCAAGUCCGGUGCCAGCAGCCGCGGUAACACCGGCGGCCCGAGUGGUGACCACUUUUAUUGGGCCUAAAGCGUCCGUAGCCGGUCCAGUAAGUCCCUGUUUAAAUCCUACGGCUUAACCGUAGGGCUGGCAGGGAUACUGCUGGACUUGGGACCGGGAGAGGGCGAGGGUACUUCAGGGGUAGCGGUGAAAUGUGUUGAUCCCUGGAGGACCACCUAUGGCGAAGGCACUCGCCUGGAACG